rnacentral:rRNA from 1 species
AAGUUUCAACAACGGAUCUCUUGGCUCUCGCAUCGAUGAAGAACGCAGCGAAAUGCGAUAAGUAAUGUGAAUUGCAGAAUUCAGUGAAUCAUCGAAUCUUUGAACGCACCUUGCGCUCCUUGGUAUUCCUCGGAGCAUGCCUGUGAGUAUCA